rnacentral:rRNA from 1 species
UACGUAGGUGGCAAGCGUUGUCCGGAAUUAUUGGGCGUAAAGCGCGCGCAGGCGGUUUCUUAAGUCUGAUGUGAAAGCCCACGGCUCAACCGUGGAGGGUCAUUGGAAACUGGGGAACUUGAGUGCAGAAGAGGAAAGUGGAAUUCCACGUGUAGCGGUGAAAUGCGUAGAGAUGUGGAGGAACACCAGUGGCGAAGGCGACUGUCUGGUCUGUAACUGACACUGAGGCGCGAAAGCGUGGGGAGCAAACAGG